rnacentral:rRNA from 1 species
AGCUUUAUGAUUUAUAUAAAGUUUUACCUGCCCAGUGAUAAAUUUAACGGCCGCAGUACUUUGACUGUGCUAAGGUAGCAUAAUAAAUUGACUUUUAAUUGGAGCCUUGAAUGAAAGGAUAUAUGGAUAAUUACUGUCUCUUAAUAAUUUUAUUUAAAUUGCUUAGAAGGUGAAAAUACCUUUGUUUAUAUAAUAGACGAGAAGACCCUAGGAGCUUUAACUUUUUUUUGUUGGGGCGACACUAUAACAUUUAACUUAUAGAAUUAUUUAACGAAAAAUUUUAAUAAUAAAUAAGCUACCCUAGGGAUAACAGCAUAAUUAUUUUUAGUUUGUGACCUCGAUGUUGGACUAGGAAAUUUUAAUAUUAUCCAUAUUAAAAAUUUGUUCUGUUCGAACUUUCCUCCUACAU